rnacentral:rRNA from 1 species
CCUACGGGUGGCAGCAGUGGGGAAUAUUGGACAAUGGGGGGAACCCUGAUCCAGCCAUGCCGCGUGUGUGAAGAAGGCCCUCGGGUUGUAAAGCACUUUCAGUGAGGAAGAACGCCUGGUGGUUAAUACCCAUCAGGAAAGACAUCACUCACAGAAGAAGCACCGGCUAACUCCGUGCCAGCAGCCGCGGUAAUACGGAGGGUGCGAGCGUUAAUCGGAAUUACUGGGCGUAAAGCGCGCGUAGGUGGCUUGAUAAGCCGGUUGUGAAAGCCCCGGGCUCAACCUGGGAACGGCAUCCGGAACUGUCAAGCUAGAGUGCAGGAGAGGAAGGUAGAAUUCCCGGUGUAGCGGUGAAAUGCGUAGAGAUCGGGAGGAAUACCAGUGGCGAAGGCGGCCUUCUGGACUGACACUGACACUGAGGUGCGAAAGCGUGGGUAGCAAACAGGUUUAGAUACCCUUGUAGUC